rnacentral:rRNA from 1 species
UAAAGAUUCAUCGCUGAUAGGUAGGCAUGCGUUCCAUUAGGCAGUUGGCGGGGUAACGGCCCACCAAACCGACGAUGGAUAGGGGUUCUGAGAGGAAGGUCCCCCACAUUGGUACUGAGACACGGACCAAACUCCUACGGGAGGCAGCAGUGAGGAAUAUUGGUCAAUGGGCGUAAGCCUGAACCAGCCAAGUCGCGUGAGGGAUGAAGGUUCUAUGGAUCGUAAACCUCUUUUAUAAGGGAAUAAAGUGCGGGACGUGUCCCGUUUUGUAUGUACCUUAUGAAUAAGGAUCGGCUAACUCCGUGCCAGCAGCCGCGGUAAUACGGAGGAUCCGAGCGUUAUCCGGAUUUAUUGGGUUUAAAGGGUGCGUAGGCGGCCUUUUAAGUCAGCGGUGAAAGUCUGUGGCUCAACCAUAGAAUUGCCGUUGAAACUGGGAGGCUUGAGUAUGUUUGAGGCAGGCGGAAUGCGUGGUGUAGCGGUGAAAUGCUUAGAUAUCACGCAGAACCCCGAUUGCGAAGGCAGCCUGCCAAGCCAUGACUGACGCUGAUGCACGAAAGCGUGGGGAUCAAACAGGAUUAGAUACCCUGGUAGUCCACGCAGU